CCUCCUUCUAGGUGGAAAGGCUUGUUGUUGGGCUUUUGCCCAAGGCUGCUCUCCUGGAAGCUUGUACUGACAAAUAUUUAUUAAUUUUAAUGCUAUAAAUCUCCUCAGCAAUAAGAAUCCUAGAUGACAUUUGCAGAGAAAUGAACUUACAGGCAGGCAGCAUCAAGAGGAGAGAUUUACUUUUACUGGAGGGAGGGGAAGGGUGUGCAUAUUUCCUUUCAAUUUCAACCUCUGAUAUGCACGAGUCCAAACCCAAUGAGGAGAAGCCCUGAAAACCCUGGGUCUUUCGCACAAGCUUCAAUUCUGUUUGGCCCCUAAACAAAUACAACAGCUUACUGGAGUUCCUCUCUGUUGCAUUGCUAGAUUCUUAUCAGCAUGAUGAGAGCAGUGAGCUCCCAGCGAGUCCCUACUUUCUAUACAGUCAGGAGACGGAUCAGGUAAACGGAUCAGAUACUGAGCAGUGCAGCAGGAAGGUGAAGGGGACAGAGAAAUCCCAUUCAGGGGUCAGGCUCAGAUCAUAGACCGUCUACUUCUCAGUCCCCGUUCCCCGGCUGUCCCAGGCUAACACAACUCCACCACGGCACAGAAACCUGAGAAGAUGCGGCUUUAGUGACCACGUCAAGAUUCUAGAAGAUCGCACGGCAUGCCCUCCCUCCUAUCAGUCCCCUCCCGAGGACUUAGACGGAUCACGGUCAGAAUGUAAGCUCUGAGGCUGCUGCUUAUCAUUCAGAGUCACGCUACGGCAGGAGGACCUUGAGAGGUCACCUUACAGGGUCCCUUUCCUCCACUUGCCUGAAGGCGAGCCACACGGGGUGAGACACUGUCAUUUUGUAUUACCUUUUUAACGGCAUCAAAUCUCGCCCAGUACAUAUUGGAGAACUUCAGAAAUAUAAUCUGAAUGCCACAUAACCCU